GACGAACGCUGGCGGCGUGCUUAACACAUGCAAGUCGAACGGAAAGGCCCUGCUUUUGUGGGGUGCUCGAGUGGCGAACGGGUGAGUAACACGUGAGUAACCUGCCCUUGACUUUGGGAUAACUUCAGGAAACUGGGGCUAAUACCGGAUAGGAGCUCCUGCUGCAUGGUGGGGGUUGGAAAGUUUCGGCGGUUGGGGAUGGACUCGCGGCUUAUCAGCUUGUUGGUGUGGCAGUGGCUUACCAAGGCUUUGACGGGUAGCCGGCCUGAGAGGGUGACCGGCCACAUUGGGACUGAGAUACGGCCCAGACUCCUACGGGAGGCAGCAGUGGAGAAUAUUGCACAAUGGGCGGAAGCCUGAUGCAGCAACGCCGCGUGCGGGAUGACGGCCUUCGGGUUGUAAACCGCUUUCGCCUGUGACGAAGCGUGAGUGACGGUAAUGGGUAAAGAAGCACCGGCUAACUACGUG
rnacentral:rRNA from 1 species